rnacentral:rRNA from 1 species
GAGGGGGAUACCCGGGAAACUGGGGAUAUACCCAUAGACUAUGAAUGCUGGAAUGCUUUGUAGUUGAAAGGUUCGCCGCCAUAGGAUGGGUCUGCGGCCGAUUAGGUUGUUGUUGGGGUAACGGCCCAACAAGCCUGUAAUCGGUACGGGUUGUGGGAACAAGAGCCCGGAGAUGGAUUCUGAGACACGAAUCCAGGCCCUACGGGGCGCAGCAGGCGCGAAAACUUUACAAUGCGGGAAACCGUGAUAAGGGAACUCCGAGUGCCCGUAAAAUCGGGCUGUCCAUCUGUUUAAAUAACAGGUGAAGAAAGGGCCGGGCAAGACCGGUGCCAGCCGCCGCGGUAAUACCGGCGGCUCGAGUGGUGGCCACUAUUACUGGGCUUAAAGCGUUCGUAGCUGGUCUGUUAAGUCUCUGGGGAAAUCUACUGGCUUAACCAAUAGGCAUCUCAGGGAUACUGGCAGACUAGGGACCGGGAGAGGUGAGAGGUACUCCAGGGGUAGGAGUGAGAUCCUGUAAUCCUUGGGGGACCACCUGUGGCGAAGGCGUCUCACCAGAACGGUUCCGACAGUGAGGGACGAAAGCUGGGGGAGCAAACCGGAUUAGGCACCCGGGUAGUCCCAGCUGUAAACGAUGCGCGUUAGGUGUAUCGAUGACCACGAGUCAUCGAGGUGCCGAAGAGAAAUCGUGAAACGUGCCGCCUGGGAAGUACGGUCGCAAGGCUGAAACUUAAAGGAAUUGGCGGGGGAGCACCACAACAGGUGGAGCCUGCGGUUUAAUCGGACUCAACGCCGGAAAUCUCACCGGAUAAGACAGCUGGAUGAUAGUCGGGCUGAAGACUCUACUUGACUAGCUGAGAGGAGGUGCAUGGCCGUCGUCAGUUCGUACUGUGAAGCAUCCUGUUAAGUCAGGCAACGAGCGAGACCCACGCCAACAGUUGCCAGCUCGUCCUCCGGGAUGGUGGGGACACUGUGGGGACCGCCUCUGCUAAAGAGGAGGAAGGAAUGGGCAACGGUAGGUCAGCAUGCCCCGAAUUAUCCGGGCUACACGCGGGCUACAAUGGGUGGGACAAUGGGUAUCGACACCGAAAGGUGAAGGCAAUCUCCUAAACCCGUCCUUAGUUCGGAUUGUGGGCUGCAACUCGCCCACAUGAAGCUGGAAUUCUGUUAGUAAUCGUGUU